GGUUAUCGCUAUCCGGGUUCGACUUAGACAUGCGAGCCGCGAGGGGUUAAGCCCUCGGCGAACUGCUCCGUAAUACACAGUCAACCUGCCCUAUGCUGGGGAAUAAUCUCGCGAAAGUGAGGCUAAUGCCCCAUAGAUAUUCGAGGCUGGAAUGCGCGGAUAUUAAAAGCUCCGGUGGCAUAGGAUGGGACUGCGGCUCAUCAGGCUGUUGAUGGUGUAACGCACCGUCAAACCGAUAACGAGUACGGGCUAUGGAAGUAGGAGCCUGGAGAUGGAUUCUGAGACAUGAAUCCAGGUACUACGGUACGCAGCAGUUACGAAAACUUUACAAUGCGCUCACGCGCGAUAAGGGAACCUGGAGUGCUCUUGUUUUACAAGAGCUUUUACUCACUGAAAACAGGCGAGUGAAUAAGGGGUGGGCAAAACGGGUGCCAGCCGCCGCGGUAAUACCCGUGCCCCAAGUGAUAGCCACCAUUAUUGGGCCUAAAGCGUCCGUAGCCGGUUUGGCAAGUCUCUUGUGAAAUUCUGCAGCAAACUGUAGAACAUGCUGGAGAUACUGCUAGACUUGAGACCGGGAGAGGUAAGAGGUACUCGCGGGGUAGGGGUAAAAUCCUGUAAUCCUGCGGGGACGACCUGUGGCGAAGGCGUCUUACCAGAACGGGUCUGACGGUGAGGGACGAAAGCUAGGGGAGCGAUCGGGAUUAGAUAUGAGAAGAGAGGUUGUGCUCAUGACAGUG
rnacentral:rRNA from 1 species